rnacentral:tRNA from 1 species
GGGCGACUAGCUCAGCUGGUUAGAGCGCACGAUUCACAUUCGUGAGGUCACAAGUUCGAUUCUUGUGUCGCCCACCA